CGUGUAGGCGGCUCAUCAAGUCUGGUGUGAAAACGCAAGGCUCAACCUUGCGGAUGCGCUGGAAACUGGUGGGCUGGAGUUCUUGAGGGGAAGCUGGAAUUCCAGGUGUAGGGGUGAAAUCUGUAGAUAUCUGGAAGAACACCGGUGGCGAAGGCGAGCUUCUAUCAGAGGACUGACGCUGAGGCGCGAAAGCGUGGGGAGCAAACAGGAUUAGAUACCCUGGUAGUCCACGCUGUAAACGAUGUGCACUAGGCGUGGGGGCACGUACGUGUUCUGUGCCGUAGUUAACGUGAUAAGUGCACCGCCUGGGGAGUAUGCUCGCAAGGGUGAA
rnacentral:rRNA from 1 species